ACACUGCUAGGUGUAUAUCUCACAGUGUAUAUACACUACUAGGUGUAUAUCUCACAGUAUAUAUACACUGCUAGGUGUAUAUCUCACAGUGUAUAUACACUGCUAGGUGUAUAUCUCACAGUGUAUAUACACUGCUAGGUGUAUAUCUCACAGUGUAUAUACACUACUAGGUGUAUAUCUCAGUGUAUAUACACUGCUAGGUGUAUAUCUCACAGUGUAUAUACACUGCUAGGUGUAUAUCUCACAGUGUAUAUCUCACAGUGUAUAUACACUGCUAGGUGUAUAUCUCACAGUGUAUAUACACUGCUAGGUGUAUAUCUCACAGUGUAUAUACACUACUAGAUGUAUAUCU